AUUAUUUUUUCAUAUUAUGCCGACUUUAAAUUUGACUCGCUCGCGAAUCGCGAUUAUUUGAAAUUUGAACAAAAAAUACAGACAACAGAACAGUCGUACAGAUUUCUAUUCAUACAUUUUAAUAUAAAAUCACCAUGGAUAAGUGUAUUCUUUUCAGUAAAACAUCCAAAGUAUCGUCUCGCCACAUUACGUACAUUUUAAUUUAUUUCCGAAAAAUCAAUGAAAUAGAAAGAAACGAUGGCUAAAAAUGUUCGAAUUAAAUGAUUGUCGCAAUAAUUUCUACGUGGCAUAGAAUCUGCGGCAGGUAAUCAUUUCACAAUAAUUAGUGAUUGUAAACAAUGCUCAGUAAAUUAGUAAACACGGUGUCACAGACUGUCUCAAAACAUAAUCCAAACCACUUGUCUGGGAUAGAGAAGUAAAAUAAAUGUUAGUGAUUCACGGCAAUAUUGGUACUACUCUGCGCACGACUAGUAAAUCGCAUCUAAGAGAAAAUUUAGUUUCUCCAACGAUGAGCUAGAAGUAAAUGAACAGACGAAUAAAGGAUUUAGAGGCCAUGAUUUUAAUUCACUCAGAAAAGCCUUGGAUACCCAAUAAUGUCUAAUUCACACACACUUAUUUCACACAGGGGAUUAUACUCAUAAUGUUUUUCAAAACUGAAAUAUAUUACGAUAUGUACCACAUACAAGGAACUGGGAAGUGGAGCCAAUGCACUGACAGAUUUUCAGACGUUGACUUUCUUGGAGAUAAUUCUACAGACUCAGAUGAAGCCAUACAAUAUUUGAGAGAAUUAUGAAACUUAAAGGUAAUACAAUUUUGCUGGCGAAGAAUCCAAUUUUAACAACGCAGAGGGCCUCAACAUAUUUAAAUUGCAAAGAAACACAUAACUAGUUUGGACAUUGGUAUCUUUUCUGAUGCGAAAGUGCAUCUAGUUGGAUGCGUUAAACAGGUCGUCGAGCACGUUCCCAUUGACAACGAGGAAGGACAAACUUGUUUGAAAAAAGAGUAUGCAAUUACCAAAAGGCUUCAGUGGCUGUUAUUAAAAUUCUUCAACCAUCGACAAUGGACAUGAUUGAUGAAGACUUUUAAACUAGGUAUAUUCUGAUAGGUACCUAUUUCCUUUAAUUUGUGUACUUAUUUUACCUAUGUUUCCCCCCACCACCCAUCAGAAAGUAAUUAGUUAGUUUAUUUAACAAAAGAAAACUGUACCUACUCACUGUGUUUGUGAAUAAAAUUAUUUUGUCAAUGACUAAUUUAAGAAAACUUUAUUUUUAAAUUGUAUAAUGAAAAAA